AGGAUAAACGCUGGCGGCGUGCCUAACACAUGCAAGUCGAACGCGCUUUCGGGCUUCGGUGCGAGAGCGAGUGGCGGACGGGUGAGUAACACAUGGGUACCUACCUUGGAGUGAGGGAUACCGGCGAGAAAUCGCCGACAAUACCGCAUAGGCUUCUUCACAAGGGAAGCAAAGUGACGCGAGUCACGCUGUGAGAUGGGCCUGUGGCCGAUUAGCUAGUUGGGGGGGUAACGGCUUCCCAAGGCGACGAUCGGUAGCUGGUCUGAGAGGACGAUCAGCCACACUGGGAUUGAGAACGGCCCAGACUCCUACGGGGGCAGCAGUGAGGAAUUUUCCGCAAUGGAGGCAACUCUGACGGAGCAACGCCGCGUGCAGGAGGAAGGUUUUCGGAUCGUAAACUGCUUUUCUCGGGGACGAGCAAGGACGGUACCCGAGGAAGAAGCCCCGGCUAACUACGCGCCAGCAGCCGC
rnacentral:rRNA from 1 species